rnacentral:rRNA from 1 species
CCUCAGGAGACGAUCUUUCUCCUUCUUUCCUUUUCUUCCCUCUCUUUCCUUCUUUUCUCUCCUUCGUGCGUUCAAGCUCCCAGGCUUAACCGGGAGAGGACGCGCGAGACUGUCGGACUAGAGGCAGGUAGAGGCAAGUGGAAUUCCGGGUGUAGUGGUGAAAUGCGUAGAGAUCCGGAGGAACCCCGGUGGCGAAGGCGACUUGCUGGGCCUGAACUGACGCUCAGACGCGAAAGCAUGGGGAGCGAACGG